AGGUGCAUUACAGGGCAAAAACUCCAUUGGCAGGCAGCCAGCUAAAGGCAUGCAACUAUUGUUUUAAGUGUUCUUUUAUGUCUGCCCUCUGCCAAAGGAGAUUUGCCCGGCAACUCUCCU
rnacentral:pre_miRNA from 1 species